UUCUGUGUAUACAGUGAUUAAGCACAUAGGUUCUGGAGCCAGUCUGUUUCUUUCAAAAUCACCUCAUUGCUUUUGAAGAAUCAGGGAAACCCCCAUGAGACUACAGGUGUGAAGCAAGAUAGAAGCAUCAGUGCAAAAGAGAUUCUCUUACUGAGAUACCUUGGAACAUGGUUUGAAUAAUAUUGCUCUAACUUCUUUCAUGUCAGGAAGCUCUGAGUUGCCAUAGACUUGCGGAAAUGCCUGCUACAUACAUGCGUGUUGAACAAUGAACUUCAUAACUGACAUAUUUAUCAGAGAAUCAGGAUGAGAGAAGAUGCAGAAACACAGAAAGGAAGAGGAUUAGCAACUUUCCCAGAUCUGAGUUGAGCUGAGAUUUGAGUCAAGGCAAUAUUGCUUCUGGGGCUGUAACAACUACAUUUUAUUGUCUCCUGAACAGAUACUUCCUUUUCUUACUUAAUAAGAAUAGACCUUGGAGGUCUGGACCUGGACAUGAACGUACACUUUUCUAAAGAAGAUAUACACAUGGCCAACAAGCAUGUGAAAAAAAGCUCAA
rnacentral:lncRNA from 1 species